rnacentral:lncRNA from 1 species
UCAGAGCAUCGAUCGGACAAGUUGGUUGCUGAGGAGGAGGUGGUGGCCUCAUGCCACCUCCACCUCCACCUCCACCUCCACCUCCACCACCUCCGGAUGGUGGAUCACCACCUCCUCCACCUCCUCCACCUGAAUGAGGUCCGCCACCAGGACUGGGGCGACCACCUCCUCCGCCGCCGCCAGGUGGGGCACCUGGGUAAGGUGGGUAUGGAGAGUAAGGAGGAUAUACAACAGGAGGUGAUAUAACCGGUGGUGGAUUAAUAAUAAUAGGUGGCAUGAUUAUUGGUGGCCCUUUCCCGUGGCCUCCAUGGUGCGGUGGUUUCGUGUGUGGGGGUUUGGGAUGAGGAACUUUCGGGUGGGUAGGGCGGUGAUACGGUGGAUAUGG